rnacentral:rRNA from 1 species
GGGUCAGUAGGUUGGUCGUGCCACCGGUACGUACUGGUCUCACUGAUUCCUCCUUCCUGAAGAGCCGUAAUGCCAUUAAUUUGGUGUUGCAGGGAAACAGGACUGUUACUUUGAAAAAAUUAGAGUGUUUAAAGCAAGCUAACGCUUGAAUACAUUAGCAUGGAAUAAUGAAAUAGGACGAUCGAUCCUAUUUUGUUGGUUUCUAGGAUUGACGUA